rnacentral:hammerhead_ribozyme from 1 species
GUAAAGCCGAAGAGUCCCAAACUAGGACGAAACAGCUGUCCAUUAC